AUAAUGGGUCAGCGACUUAUAUUCUGUAGCAAGGUUAACCGAAUAGGGGAGCCGAAGGGAAACCGAGUCUUAACUGGGCGUUAAGUUGCAGGGUAUAGACCCGAAACCCGGUGAUCUAGCCAUGGGCAGGUUGAAGGUUGGGUAACACUAACUGGAGGACCGAACCGACUAAUGUUGAAAAAUUAGCGGAUGACUUGUGGCUGGGGGUGAAAGGCCAAUCAAACCGGGAGAUAGCUGGUUCUCCCCGAAAGCUAUUUAGGUAGCGCCUCGUGAAUUCAUCUCCGGGGGUAGAGCACUGUUUCGGCAAGGGGGUCAUCCCGACUUACCAACCCGAUGCAAACUGCGAAUACCGGAGAAUGUUAUCACGGGAGACACACGGCGGGUGCUAACGUCCGUCGUGAAGAGGGAAACAACCCAGACCGCCAGCUAAGGUCCCAAAGUCAUGGUUAAGUGGGAAACGAUGUGGGAAGGCCCAGACAGCCAGGAUGUUGGCUUAGAAGCAGCCAUCAUUUAAAGAAAGCGUAAUAGCUCACUGGUCGAGUCGGCCUGCGCGGAAGAUGUAACGGGGCUAAACCAUGCACCGAAGCUGCGGCAGCGACGCUGAUGCGUUGUUGGGUAGGGGAGCGUUCUGUAAGCCUGUGAAGGUGUGCUGUGAGGCAUGCUGGAGGUAUCAGAAGUGCGAAUGCUGACAUAAGUAACGAUAAAGCGGGUGAAAAGCCCGCUCGCCGGAAGACCAAGGGUUCCUGUCCAACGUUAAUCGGGGCAGGGUGAGUCGACCCCUAAGGCGAGGCCGAAAGGCGUAGUCGAUGGGAAACAGGUUAAUAUUCCUGUACUUGGUGUUACUGCGAAGGGGGGACGGAGAAGGCUAUGUUGGCCGGGCGACGGUUGUCCCGGUUUAAGCGUGUAGGCUGGUUUUCCAGGCAAAUCCGGAAAAUCAAGGCUGAGGCGUGAUGACGAGGCACUACGGUGCUGAAGCAACAAAUGCCCUGCUUCCAGGAAAAGCCUCUAAGCAUCAGGUAACAUCAAAUCGUACCCCAAACCGACACAGGUGGUCAGGUAGAGAAUACCAAGGCGCUUGAGAGAACUCGGGUGAAGGAACUAGGCAAAAUGGUGCCGUAACUUCGGGAGAAGGCACGCUGAUAUGUAGGUGAAGUCCCUCGCGGAUGGAGCUGAAAUCAGUCGAAGAUACCAGCUGGCUGCAACUGUUUAUUAAAAACACAGCACUGUGCAAACACGAAAGUGGACGUAUACGGUGUGACGCCUGCCCGGUGCCGGAAGGUUAAUUGAUGGGGUCAGCGCAAGCGAAGCUCUUGAUCGAAGCCCCGGUAAACGGCGGCCGUAACUAUAACGGUCCUAAGGUAGCGAAAUUCCUUGUCGGGUAAGUUCCGACCUGCACGAAUGGCGUAAUGAUGGCCAGGCUGUCUCCACCCGAGACUCAGUGAAAUUGAACUCGCUGUGAAGAUGCAGUGUACCCGCGGCAAGACGGAAAGACCCCGUGAACCUUUACUAUAGCUUGACACUGAACAUUGAGCCUUGAUGUGUAGGAUAGGUGGGAGGCUUUGAAGUGUGGACGCCAGUCUGCAUGGAGCCGGCCUUGAAAUACCACCCUUUAAUGUUUGAUGUUCUAACGUUGACCCGUUAUCCGGGUUGCGGACAGUGUCUGGUGGGUAGUUUGACUGGGGCGGUCUCCUCCUAAAGAGUAACGGAGGAGCACGAAGGUUGGCUAAUCCUGGUCGGACAUCAGGAGGUUAGUGCAAUGGCAUAAGCCAGCUUGACUGCGAGCGUGACGGCGCGAGCAGGUGCGAAAGCAGGUCAUAGUGAUCCGGUG
rnacentral:rRNA from 1 species